rnacentral:misc_RNA from 1 species
GAAAUGCGAUAAGUAAUGUGAAUUGCAGAAUUCCGUGAAUCAUCGAAUCUUUGAACGCACAUUGCGCCCUCUGGCAUUCCGGGGGGCAUGCCUGUCCGAGCGUCAUUACGCACCCUCAAGCCCGGCUUGUGUGAUGGGCCCCGGCGUCUCGUUCGCGAGACGUGCCCGAAAGGCAGCGGCGGCGUCGACCCGAUGAGCCCGAGCGUAUGGGGACUUCUGUCACACGUUCGCGGUGCGGACCGGCGCCUGCUUGACUUUUCUGAUUAUCCAGGUUGACCUCGGAUCAGGUAGGGAUACCCGCUGAACUUAAGC